CGACCGCGACCCCAGGUCAGACGGAC
rnacentral:rRNA from 1 species